AUGUUCUAAGGAAUGAGAAAAAGACCCGCUUAAGCAGAAUGAAAGAAGUGGGGUGUAUAGAAUACUCUUAGUUGAAUGUGCUAUGAAUAUGGAGACAGCGUACAUUGGUGUUACAUCCAGAACCAUUGAAAAAAGAAUGGAGGAGCAUAAACAAGAUAUUAAAUUAGGCAACCUGAACACUAUGCUAGCUGUUGAAGCAUAUAAUAAGAAUGUUAGUAUAGAAUGGGCAGGAGUUAAACGAAUCAAGCAGGUUAGAAGCUAUAUGCAAUCAAUCAUUACCAAGUCAUUAGAAAUUAUCAGAAGGAGGAAUAAGGAGAACUUAAUUAAUGACAAAAUGGUGUGGGUCCCUCCUCUUACGUG
rnacentral:lncRNA from 1 species